CAUCCACCAACCACUGGAACACAUCUCCAAAGUUCUGCUGGACCAGCUCAGCUUCCCCUCAGAAGAAGUGCUGCCACCUGCCAGAUGAAGGAGCCUUUUGAGAGGCAGCUGGCAUCGUGAUUGGACUGUACUUUGGUCUGUUCCAAUCCAGCUUCAGCUCCAGAGACGGCAGGCGGGACGAGUCAACGGAGGCCGGAUGGACGAAGGCAUGCAGCUGAGUACAAUCUAGAAAACAACAGAGGAGGAGUGCAGCAGCCCAGAGCCAGAACAACCAGAGUAGCAUCACCAAAGAACUACAGACUCUUCACAACCUGCUCAAACUCUUGGUACAG
ensembl:lncRNA